rnacentral:rRNA from 1 species
UACGUAGGUCCCGAGCGUUGUCCGGAUUUAUUGGGCGUAAAGCGAGCGCAGGUGGUUUAUUAAGUCUGGUGUAAAAGGCAGUGGCUCAACCAUUGUAUGCAUUGGAAACUGGUAGACUUGAGUGCAGGAGAGGAGAGUGGAACUCCAUGUGUAGCGGUGAAAUGCGUAGAUAUAUGGAGGAACACCGGUGGCGAAAGCGACUCUCUGGCCUGUAACUGACACUGAGGCUCGAAAGCGUGGGGAGCAAACAGG